rnacentral:rRNA from 1 species
UCCUACGGGAGGCAGCAGUGAGGAAUAUUGGACAAUGGAUGGAAAUCUGAUCCAGCCAUGCCGCGUGCAGGAAGACGGCCCUAUGGGUUGUAAACUGCUUUUGUAUGGGAGCAAUAAGGUCUAUGCGUAGACUGAUGAGAGUACCAUACGAAUAAGCAUCGGCUAACUCCGUGCCAGCAGCCGCGGUAAUACGGGGGAUGCAAGCGUUAUCCGGAUUUAUUGGGUUUAAAGGGUGCGUAGGCGGUUUGAUAAGUCAGCGGUGAAAUAUUUCAGCUUAACUGAAAGGGUGCCGUUGAUACUGUCAGGCUUGAAUAUGGUUGCUGUGGGUGGAAUGUGUGGUGUAGCGGUGAAAUGCUUAGAUAUCACACAGAAUAUCGAUUGCGAAGGCAGCUCACAAAGCCAUUAUUGACGCUGAUGCACGAAAGUGUGGGGAUCAAACAGGAUUAGAUACCCUGGUAGUCCACACUGUAAACGAUGAUAACUCGCUGUCGGCGAUACACAGUCGGUAGCCAAGCGAAAGCGAUAAGUUAUCCACCUGGGGAGUACGACCGCAAGGUUGAAACUCAAAGGAAUUGACGGGGGCCCGCACAAGCGGAGGAACAUGUGGUUUAAUUCGAUGAUACGCGAGGAACCUUACCCGGGCUCGAACGGUGCAGGAAUACGUCAGAGAUGAUGUAGCUAGCAAUAGUCUGUAUCGAGGUGCUGCAUGGUUGUCGUCAGCUCGUGCCGUGAGGUGUCGGCUUAAGUGCCAUAACGAGCGCAACCCUUGUCGUUAGUUGCCAUCAGGUAAUGCUGGGAACUCUAGCGAGACUGCCACCGUAAGGUGUGAGGAAGGGGGGGAUGACGUCAAAU